rnacentral:lncRNA from 1 species
GUCCGUUUCUCAUGCAUGCGAUUGUAUUGUCCACACUUCUCAGGUGCGGUGGCCACGCCAGGCUCGCCGUCGGACUGCAGGACUAGGCCUUCCUGUCCUUGGAUGCACGGAGGUUGUCCAGGUCCGCGGAAGAAGUGUGGUCCCUGGUCCGCACGCUGGGGACGUCUGUCGCGAAGACGGUGCUGUGGCCACACCAGACUCGCCGUCGGCCCACAGGACUAGACUUUCCUGUCCUCGGAUGAGUGGAGGUUCCAGUCCCCGGAAGAAGUGUGGUCUCGGGUGGGCUCGCUGUGGAUGUCGGACCUCGAAGACAGUGUGGUGGCCACGACUGGUCGUCAUCGGCCCGCAGGACUAGGCUUUCCAUCCUUGGAUGCACGGCCGUUGUCCAGGUUCCCGGAAGAAGUGUGGUCCCUGGUGGGCAUGCUGCGGACGUCGGAUCACGAAGACGGUGUGGUGGCCACGCCAGGCUCACCGUCAGCCUGCAGGACUAGAACUUCCUGUCCUUGGAUGUGUGGAGGUUUGCCGAGUACCCAGAAGAAGUGUGGUCCCGUGUGGGCAGGCUGCAGACAUCGGAUCGUAGAGACGGUGGAGUUGGCUUGA